rnacentral:rRNA from 1 species
GUCUAUGGUCAUACCACCCUGAACACUCCCAAUCUCAUAAGAUCUCAGAAGCUAAGCAGGGUUGGACCUGGUUAGUACUUGGAUAGAAGAGAAAUGAAUAGUAUAUGUAAUCUGUCCUUUGUAGGUU